rnacentral:sRNA from 1 species
GAUAUGGAAGAUUCGAACCUGCCGCAGGUUCGGGUCGAACGCAGUGAGACAACGGAGCCGUUUACGGCGACGGCCCGUAGGGCGAGCGAAGCGAGUCAUCCUGCACGACCCACCA